rnacentral:rRNA from 1 species
CGUAGGCAACCUGCCCUUUGCACAGGGAUAGCCAUUGGAAACGAUGAUUAAAACCUGAUAACACCAUUUUAUCACAUGGAAAGAUGGUCAAAGAUUUAUCGGCAAAGGAUGGGCCUGCGUCUGAUUAGCUAGUUGGUGAGGUAACGGCUCACCAAGGCAACGAUCAGUAGCCGACCUGAGAGGGUGAUCGGCCACAUUGGAACUGAGACACGGUCCAAACUCCUACGGAAGGCAGCAG